UUUGGCAAGUACAUUUAGUCAUGUAUGAUUAUGUCAGAAUAAUCGUACAUAUAGCAGUCAGAAUUCUAUGGAAUAUUAAAAUGAAUGCCCACUUAGAAAACGUUCUCAUUCUGCUCAGAGUAUUCUGUUCCUUUAAAUGAAAAUAGGUAGAGAAACAGACUGGUAAGAGAAUUCCAUUUGCAAGAGACAAAGUCUAAUGUAUUUGCAUGCAAAAGUUUAGAAUACUUUUUUUUUUUUUUACUUUAUUCAUCACUCCAUUAAUCUAAAAGGUAAGACCUAGACUGAAAACAGAGGCUUUUCACAUUUCAAACAAACUCCUGAGUAUAAGUGAGCAGAGCAUUCAACUGUUAGAUUUUGUUGCUUCUUUACCAGCUGGAGAUAAGCACAAAGAAGGUCAUACUAUCUAAUCCUAAAUAUGGAUGAUGUAUGUAUGUAGUUGGAGUUGGAGAAUAAAUUAUUUGGAAAAAUAAUAAAUAAUAGGUCUUUUAUGUUCAGGUGUACAAAUUGGGAUAACAUGUUCCAUGGUAUCUAUUUCCAUCCUGUGUUAGUCUACAGAAUGAUUGACUGAAUGAAAGUUUCCAGAGUAAACCAUAAGAAAUAGCUGGAGUCAUAUAUAUCAAACACCAUUCUGCAACAUGACAGAGGGAUUUGGAAGAGAUGCUUCCACCCCAGGAAUUUCCAGGACAUCUGCAAAAGAACUUUGCUUAUGUUACUAAAUUAAGAAUCGAGAUGGGAAGAUUAUCCUGGAUUACUGAGUGAACUCAGAACAAUCAUAGGGUUCUUAUAAGAAGAAAACAUGAGGAUCUGAAGAGAAAAGAACCAUCUGCAGUUGGUGAAAAAUAACCCACUACAGCUAGUGAACAUUUCCCACCUUUUAUCCUCUGGCUUCAUAGGGCUGUGACAGACGGUGCCCCAGCAGGAACUAUGCAGCUCAACUGCCAAAGGUGUUGCUGUUCCUGCAGAAAUCCUAGAGACUGCUCUGCCCCAGCAAACAGACUUCUGCAGAACGAGCUGCUGUACCUAAGAACCAACCCUUCUCAAGUAGGUGUGUCUAACUAAAAUGAAACCACUGAGGAAACUGCCUUGAUACUGAACUUCCCUAAACCAGGUCUCAGCAGAAGAAAAAAGCAUCCCUCCUACCUCAUUUCUCCUUUCGGAGGCUAGCAGGAAAUUAAAAAAGGAAAGGAGUUCCAUGCAGUAUUUCUGACAGCAAAUUUCUCAGAAUCCAGAGAUACUUCUUUUCCCUGUAAUAAGUUGCUGCAGAUACAAAGGAGCACUUAUGAUUGAUGACUGUCUCUGUUUGCAGGAGUGAUAAUUUUUGAACACACAGUUCUCGAUUAAAAUACAAAUGCAUUUUCAACUGCGUAUUUCUUUAUCUAUGUUUUAGUCUUACUUGACAAAAUGUGAAAAGAAUCCAGUAAAGUUGGGUUCUAGCAUACUGCAGAAGUGAAACUGAAGUAAGGAGAUUUUUAAAUGCGGAGGGAACAUCCAUUGCUAUCUCUCGGUACCUGAGUUCUCAUGUAGGAGUAGGUAAGUGGGCUGAACUUGAGGAUGCAAAAGUGUUUAUGGUGUACAAGUGUUCUGUUUCUGAAAUUGCUUUUUCAAAUACAGAGAAAUACUAAAAUUAAAACCUUUUAAAAGUGAUGUUUUAUUUAGAAAUUAAAUUUAAAACAUUUAAAAAAUGAUAUUUUAUUUAGAAAAUUCAAAACUCUUGGUAUGAAUCUCUUAAGGAUAUUACCAAGAGGACCACCAUUGCCUCCUACAUUAUGUAACAUGCUGUGGAUGCUGAGAUUUAAAAAAAAAAACUUAGCACUUGACAUGUCUGAAAGAUAGACAUGGCUUUCUCAAGAAAGCAUCUAAUAUUCGCACUAAUGCAUGGGAAAACAGAUGAAAUAAAAUAUAAAUUAAUGUGAAGGGGUGAUCA
rnacentral:lncRNA from 13 species